ensembl:snoRNA Snord42a small nucleolar RNA SNORD42
GUGCAGAUGAUGGAAAACUCAAACGUUUGGAAAAGAAUGACACCAACAAAGGAACCACUGAUGCUG